rnacentral:rRNA from 1 species
GCAUCAUAGAGGGUGAGAAUCCCGUCUUUGACACGGACUACCAGGGCUAUGUGAUACGCUCUCGACGAGUCGAGUUGUUUGAGAAUGCAGCUCAAAAUGGGUGGUAAAUUCCAUCUAAAGCUAAAUACAGGCGAGAGACCGAUAGCGAACAAGUACCGUGAGGGAAAGAUGAAAAGAACUUUGAAAAGAGAGUUAAACAGUAUGUGAAAUUGCUGAAAGGGAAACGCUUGAUGUCAGUAGCGUCGGGUUGGAUCAACUUGUAGUUAAAUACUGGGUGUAUUUCCUAGUCGACGGGUCAGCAUCAGUUUUUAUUUCGUUCGUAUAAUGACAAGGGAAUGUGGCACUCUUAGGAGUGUGUUAUAGCCUUUGGUCGUAUGCGGCGGUGGAUACUGAGGAACCUCAGCACGGUCUAAUAGCGGACUUGUGUUUAGGAUGCGGCGAAAUGGCCUUAANGACCCGUCUUGAAACACGACCANGAGUCUAACAUNCAUGCNAGUGUUUGGGUGAUUAAACUCAUGCGCGAAAUGGAA